GAUCAUGGCUCAGGAUGAACGCUAGCUACAGGCUUAACACAUGCAAGUCGAGGGGCAGCAUGGUCUUAGCUUGCUAAGGCCGAUGGCGACCGGCGCACGGGUGAGUAACACGUAUCCAACCUGCCGUCUACUCUUGGUACGAGCCUUCCUUGAAAGGAAAGGAAUUAAUUAACAAGAAUGGCGAUCAUGAGUCCGCCAUGUUCUACAUGAUUAAAGGUUAAUUCCGGUUAGACGAUGGGG
rnacentral:rRNA from 1 species